rnacentral:rRNA from 1 species
UACGUAGGGGGCAAGCGUUGUCCGGAUUUAUUGGGCGUAAAGAGCGUGUAGGCGGCUUGGUAGGUCCGCUGUGAAAACUCGAGGCUCAACCUCGAGAUGUCGGCGGAAACCACUUGGCUAGAGUCCGGAAGAGGAGAGUGGAAUUCCUGGUGUAGCGGUGAAAUGCGCAGAUAUCAGGAGGAACACCAAUGGCGAAGGCAGCUCGCUGGGACGUUACUGACGCUGAGACGCGAAAGCGUGGGGAGCAAACAGG